rnacentral:rRNA from 1 species
AGAGUUUGAUCCUGGCUCAGGAUGAACGCUGGCGGUAUGCCUAACACAUGCAAGUCGUACGGAAAAGAAAUUUUUAGUGGCGAACGGGUGAGUAACGCGUGAGAAUUUGCUUUUAGGUAGAGGAUAACGAAUAGAAAUAUUCGCUAAAACUCUAUAACUCUAUUAAAAAAAUAGCUAAAAAAAGAAAUUUGCCUAGAAAAAAGCUCGCGUCUGAUUAGCUAGUUGGUAAGGGAAAGGCUUACCAAGGCGACGAUCAGUAGCUGAUUUGAGAGGAUGAUCAGCCACACUGGAACUGAGACACGGUCCAGACUCCUACGGGAGGCAGCAGUGAGGAAUUUUCUGCAAUGGGCGAAAGCCUGACAGAGCAAUACCGCGUGAGGGAAUAAGAAGGCCUAUGGGUUGUAAACCUCUUUUCUCAAAGAAGAAGAUCUGACGUUAUUUGAGGAAUAAGCAUCGGCUAACCCUGUGCCAGCAGCCGCGGUAAU